rnacentral:tRNA from 1 species
UGCGGAGUGGACUGGAGUCUGGUUCCCAGCACGGUCUCAUAAGCCGUAAGACGUGGGUUCGAAUCCCACCUCCGCAA